GGUUGCGAUCAUACCAGCACUAAUGCACCGGAUCCCAUCAGAACUCCGCAGUUAAGCGUGCUUUGGCGAGAGUAGUACUAGGAUGGGUGACCCCCUGGGAAGUCCUCGUGUUGCAACCCC
rnacentral:rRNA from 1 species